UUUUGUUUUCCUGAAGACACAGGACAGCUCGGGGAUUAUACCCGCUUCUCUGGCUACAAAGUCAGUGGAAUGUUGGUGAAGGCUUCCAGAGUGUCAGGUGUUUGAAGAUGAGUUUAAACUUCAGGUGCCGGGCAGGGUCUGUAGAUAGGAGAUUAACGCCAUCCUAUGGUUUCCUUAAUGAGAGGAUCACAUCACAUCUGGUCCAGUUCAGCCACUGAUUACAGUGUGAUAAGCUUGCUAAAGAAGACUUCAACCUUUGUGCGUGUGUGACUGCAACUAGCGAUUUAAGUGAUCACCAGCUGCUUGUUGCCCUCCUGAGUGGACAAAGUUUACCUACAGAACCACUUGCAAGCCCUGGGAUUCAGCUUUGUCCCGCUGUUUCCAAAUUUGAGGUGCUCAAAUAUUGACCCCGAGGACCUUCCAUGCCAGAACCACCCAAGAUACCCUUAAGAGACAGCUCUCCUACCUCCUGGAAUGAGUGGGCUUUAUUUCGACUGGGGCCCCAUCCUAAGCCACCUGUUCUCUUUUUCUAAUUAACCCCAACAUGAUAACGAGAGCCAAGAUUUUCAUGGUUACAGAAGAAGGUAUAAUAAAAGCAAAGCUUCGUCUACUAGAAUGUUGCCCAAGGGAAACUCAACUUCAUGGUUGAAGAAGGCAGCCUAUUAUUUCUUUUUCCAAUUUGUCAGUGAAGUAACAAUGACUUGUCAUCUCACUCCUCUGGGCGUGUAUCUGGAAAAGGUGAAAUUCUAGUUGGAAAAGAUCAGACACCCCAGUGUUCACUGCAGCACUCUUUACCAUAGCCAAGACACAGAA